GUCCUUUAAUUGUGGACUAGUAUGAAUGGUUUAAUGAGGGAUAUACUUUCUUUAUUUUAUAUAUAUAAAUUUAAUUUAUAAGUUAAAAAGCUUAUAUAAUUUUAAAUGACGAGAAGACCCUAUAGAACUUUACUUAUUAUACUUAUUGUAAUUAUUUGUUUUGUUAUAAAUAUAGUCUGUAACAUAAGUUUUGUUGGGGUGACAAUUAAAUCUUUUUAACUUUAAUUUAAAUAUUAAAUCAUUAAUUAUGUAUAUUGAUUGACCUGUAAUAUGGAUUAUAAGAAUAAGUUACCUUAGGGAUAACAGCGUAAUUUUAUUGUAGAGUUCAUAUUAAUAAUAGAGUUUGCGACCUCCGAUGUGGAUUAA
rnacentral:rRNA from 1 species